UUCCGUAGGUGAACCUGCGGAGGGAUCAUUACACAAAUAUGAAGGCGGGCUGGAACCUCUCGGGGUUACAGCCUUGCUGAAUUAUUCACCCUUGUCUUUUGCGUACUUCUUGUUUCCUUGGUGGGUUCGCCCACCACUAGGACAAACAUAAACCUUUUGUAAUUGCAAUCAGCGUCAGUAACAAAUUAAUAAUUACAACUUUCAACAACGGAUCUCUUGGUUCUGGCAUCGAUGAAGAACGCAGCGAAAUGCGAUAAGUAGUGUGAAUUGCAGAAUUCAGUGAAUCAUCGAAUCUUUGAACGCACAUUGCGCCCUUUGGUAUUCCAAAGGGCAUGCCUGUUCGAGCGUCAUUUGUACCCUCAAGCUUUGCUUGGGGUUGGGCGUCUUGUCUCUAGCUUUGCUGGAGACUCGCCUUAAAGUAAUUGGCAGCCGGCCUACUGGUUUCGGAGCGCAGCACAAGUCGCACUCUCUAUCAGCAAAGGUCUAGCAUCCAUUAAGCCUUUUUUUUCAACUUUUGACCUCGGAUCAGGUAGGGAUACCCGCUGAACUUAAGCAUA
rnacentral:rRNA from 1 species